GCUUUGGGAGUACAUAAAGGCCUACACUUUAAUUGGACUGAUAUAGAGUAGAUUAGCAUGGCCCUUCGCAAUGAUUACACAGAUCGUAACGCUUUCUACAUUUAU